ACAUUUCACAUUUACUCAGUCAGUUGAAGCGUUUGGUAACACAAAGGGGCGGGUAAAAAUGAGCGGACGUACUUUAUUUAUGCCGAUUCCACCAAUUUACUUCGAAGAUAUGAAGUAUUGGUUUGUACAACUCGAAGCAAUAUUUAAUUUAUCCAAUAUUGACGAUGAACUCACACAAUAUUAUAUUCUGGUCGCAUCAUUAAGAGAGAUAACUUCUACAAUACUUCGUGAAAUUAUCCUCAAUGGACCAAGCGCCCCACAUCCUUAUUUGACUUUGAAACGAUUUGUUUUGGAUUUAUUAGAGGUACCAUUCACCUAUAAGUAGUUUGUUUAUGUAAAAAAUAAAAUUAUUAACUAAUUGCA